rnacentral:lncRNA from 1 species
GCUUUUGUCUGAGGACUACAGAUCUACUACUGAGCUAGUAAAGUCAAUAGCAUGGAGAUGAGUCCAGAUGUCAUCUAGACUGUUAAAGUAGUAGAAUAAGUCACCUGCACAGUGUUUGUUUAGCUACUGCUGUUCAGGUUCUCUUCCCAAUAUCUAGUCUGAAUGUUACCACAGGAUAUAAUAGGAGAAAAGAUUUGGAAAUUAAACCUGAGGGCAGCACUCAGGGACAAAGAAUGAGCUUUGGGUCUGUUUAGGCUUCUGGACUGUAUCCAGAGGUGCAAGACGAGAUGUGUAGAAGACCCUGAUCUGGCCUGAUCCAGAGUGGCCACAUGGACGCAAGUCACCAACAGGCAUGGGGACAAGGCCUCACUGGGUGAAGUAAACAACUUUAGCACUGCACAUGCAACAGUUGCCCAGGGUGUUUAGGCAUAUCUUCAGGACAGUCUGGAAUGUGAGAUCACUAGACAGCCUGAAAGAUGGGAGGUGGUGAGAGCUACUGCAGUGCUGAGAUUCAUGGAGAGGAACAAUUUCAUCCAGAAUUCUGAAGAGAUAUUUGGUGGUAAAAUGAUACCACUAAGUAGCAGGGAACCACAGGACUAGAAGGAGAUAGGAGCGAUGACGGUUAUUUUCCUUCCUGCAUGUUUAUUUCAGAGCAGCUGAGCAUCUACCUGAUGAAGUUACAUUCAUAAAACAAGCAGCCUGCACAUCACUCCAUUUCUGCAUUGCUUUGAGUAACUCCAUUUUCUUUACAAAUUAUAUAUUAGAAUUUGGAAAAUUUGGAAGAUUUGAACCAUCAUUUCCUUUACUUGUGAGGAACACACAUUUUUGUAUGCUUUG